rnacentral:rRNA from 1 species
GAACGAGAAAGGGGAGCAAUCCCUGAGUACAGUGGCGACCGGGUGAGUAACACGUGACUAACCUACCUUCGAGUGGGGGAUAACUCCGGGAAACCGGAGCUAAUACCGCAUAAUAUCGCAAGAUCAAAGCAGCAAUGCGCUUGGAGAGGGGGUCGCGGCUGAUUAGCUAGUUGGCGGGGUAACGGCCCACCAAGGCGAAGAUCGGUAUCCGGCCUGAGAGGGCGCACGGACACACUGGAACUGAAACACGGUCCAGACUCCUACGGGAGGCAGCAGUGGGGAAUUUUGCGCAAUGGGGGAAACCCUGACGCAGCAACGCCGCGUGGAGGAUGAAGCCCUUUGGGGCGUAAACUCCUUUCGACUCGGACGAUAAUGACGGUACGAGUGGAAGAAGCACCGGCUAACUCUGUG